rnacentral:misc_RNA from 1 species
UUCUCCCUCUAUUGAGCAGGAAUCACCCAUCUAUACAGCGGCGUGGCUUUUUGGUGGUGAUGUAAGUCGGGAAUCUGGUCGAAGCGGAAAGAAGCACUUGCUGGGCUCGGCUAAGGGUCUAUGGUAGCCUGGCGCCAUCUGACUCCCCCUCCUCGCCUGCGUCCGGCCACCCACAGGCAAAGGCACGCCUUCGUCUAUUCUAUAGCUCGGCGUUGCCGUACAGCGGCGCAGCAAAGGCACAAAGCGUCGCCCCUACACAGCUCUCCGCCAUGGCCGCAAGGACGCCUCUUGCGCGCGGUGCUCUGGCACGGCGCUCGGUGCUUGUUGCUCUUCUGGUGGCCCUUGUGUUGGUGAUGAAUCUCGCGAGGCUUGUCUCAGCGUUCGGUCUCCACUCUGCGCGACGCAAUAAGCCGUCAACGGCGACUGAGACAAGUGACCCCGUGCAUCCCCGCGUGAACAUCAACUGGACGCAGCAGAGCCUGAACUCCAAUAUAACCAAGGCAGAGCGCAAGGAGAUCCUCAAGAGCAAGCUGGUGCUGACGAAGCUGGUGGUGCUCAACCGCCACGGCCACCGUGCGCCGAACGCGCCGUUCUGGAAGAUGUGCCCAAAUGACAUCAAGAGCAAGAAGCGCUACGACGUCAGUGCAGAGGACUUGACUGGGCUCGGCAUGGAGGAGGAGUACAACUUUGGCCAGUAUGUGCGAAACAACUAUCACGCCUUUAUUGGCGACAAGUUCAACCGCAUGCUGCACUACUUCCGCGCUGUUGGCGAGCCGCGCAUCUUGCAGUCGGCAAUGGCGGUGGCCCAAGGGAUCUUCCCGGAUGGAUUCGGUCCGGGCGGCUACUUGCCAUCGCGGCCGCAGUUUGUGCCCAUCUUCUCCGACAUGGACACGCACGAGUACCUGCUCGAUGACGUGCCGUGCUUCCGGCGGGCCGAGAACGACUCGCAUCGGUGGAUCGACAAGCGCUAUCAGAACUUCAUCGAUGACCCGAACACGGGUCGUGUGCUAAAGAUGAUAAAGGAGGUGUGCGGCGAGUACAUCGGCCCGGCGGAAGGCUACGCCUACAUCAAGACUGUGGCAGACGGUCUCACAUUCAACAGCGACAUCGGUCUGAAGGUGGCCAAGGGCAGGCUGACACCGGAGAUGCUGUUCAGCAUUCGCAACGUCUCGCUGCAGCUCCUCAUGCAGCGCCUGUACGACACAGAUGAGCAACAGACGUACAUGGCGGUCGACCUCCCCCGCAACAUCCUGCAGACGCUUAACCACACCCAUGUCGGAGAUACCCCGGAGCAGCUGAACGACUUCACCGACACGCGGCAGGAGUCCACCUUUUACUUUAUGCACCGUGAGGCCCUCUACGCCUUCGCGCAGUUUUUUGGGUUUCAAUACAACGUAGCUGGGUUGCCGCCAGGCGAGUUGCCCGUGGCGUCCUCUAUCAUUAUGGAGAAGCUCGUGCCUCAUCGCGACCAGUACUCCCACAACGCCUCCCGCAUCUACGUUCGCAUAACGCUAUGGACGCCGUACAAUGGCAUCUACACAAUACCCAUAUCCACCUGCCGUAUCCCCGAGCUGUGUGAGCUGAAGGAACUGCGGUACAUCCACGACACCCGCGUGAGCCGCACGGGUACAUGGGAGCAGCUGUGCAACUACGCGCCGCAAGAAAUCGAUCACACAACGGAUAUUCGUUGACGACAAGGAAGUUAAAGGGAAAGAGAAAUGGUAGUGUCCGAAGCAGCGCGAUUGGAAAGCGAGCUGGGGAGAAGGGGAUAGCGUGGGCAGCGUACUGUGUUUCUGUGCUGGGUGUGGUCAUCAUGCUUUUUUUUCGCUGUUGUGUGGGUGCUACCCGCUCAAGCGUUCAUCCACUCCCCCUCCCCUACACCCACGUGCCUCCGCGCCCAGCGUGUAGGGUUGUGGGCUGUGUGGCCUUUUUUGUUUUUCUGCUUUGGUUUUUUGUUCGCUACACCAGCUCAGCUUGCUGCAUCGAUCCGUUCUCCCCUCUCUUUUCUUUGUUACUUUUAUUGCCCUUAGCCUGGGUGCUUCCCAUGCUUCUUUCUUCAUUCUUUUAUCUGUUCCCCACCACCACCACCCUCGUUGACUGUUUUCUCCCUUUAUUCUUCUGGCCUUGCAGCUCCUUAUCGAUCACAAGCACCCUGUUACCCUUUUUGUCGUCCAUCGCCCCGCUUCGCAGCGCAUUUUCCCUUCCUCCCCUCACCCGUGCUCAUUUUAUGCACGGACGGCGACAGGCAAGACGUCAAGCGCCAACGCGUUUUGCUGUCGUGCUUGUGGAGAUUCAUUCUCCUAUCUGCUGCUCUGUAGAGCCCGGCUUACACUGUGUCGUCUACUUUGUAGGCAAGAGGGUAUAAACAACGAAAAUGGGGAUUCGGGUAAGAGGAGCAUAGUAAGACUCAAGUCGUCUUGGUGUGUUUUUUCGUCUGCGAUGCACGUAUUGCCUACACCUGUGAGUGGUGUAUUCGUUACUGACCUUUGGGGGGCCUGUGUAUGUGUGUGUGUGUGUGUGUGGUGAUCGUGCUGUGUCUAAGUCUCAAAAGGGUCUUGGAGCCGAACACGAGCGCGUAAAGGCAGACACAAAUCGUGCCUUUUUUGUUUCUCGCCGCUUCUUCACCCGCCCUCGUCCAUCCCUUCGUUGGAAAGGGGAUUCGUACGCGUGUCUGUGUGUAUGUGUAUGUCUUUGAGGCGCCUCAAAUGAGGUAGAGAGACUGCACGUGUAUGUUUGCCGGUUGAUGUAUGUUGAUGUACACGGGGGGAAGGAAGGGGUGAGGACACACUCCUUCCACGCGCACUUUCCACUUCCGCCCCCCCCCCUCCAAGCCCCGCCCAUAUCACGUAUCAAUGAAGCGAAGGAAUGGAUGUGGAGAAAGAUGAUCGAUGGCACAGCGAAGAAAAACUAACCGAAAAAGCAGAAGUAGCUCGAGCAACAAAACGAAAACAAACGAAGAGAAGCACAAUGGUGGAAGAAGAGUUGACGUGCACAUGCGCGUGCACUGUAGAGCAUCGUUGUUUUUUGGGGGAGGGGAGAGGGGGGGUCUUCUGCCCUCAGGAAUCAGGUUCGAAGAACAGAAAGAAAGAGCGAGCGAGACCUCCACGUUAACUCCCCGAUCCUCUCCCCCCCCACGCCGUACGCCUUGCGAACCCUCUCAUGAGGAACAACUCCCACCGUGGGCAGCAUUCUCUUGUCUCCCUUCGACGCUUGACUAGCAAGGCAUCAUGUGACUUGCCUUUAUCUUUUUCUUUCUCAACGGCACGUUGAGCCACGAGCAGCUCAACAGUUAUACGCAUACACAGAUGCAGCUCACCUACCUCUUUUGCACCGCAGCGACCUCCACGAACCGGGCCAACCAACACUGCUUGGAGUCGUUCCGUCCCCUGCAGUUCCAGUGCAUGCAGCGCAGGCUAGGCACAGGAUUAAGCCCGACAUCACCGCAACGAAGCACACGGAGAAAAAAAAGCAGCAGACGGAUGCGCAUAUUUGCCGGAGCGUCGGCACAGCUCGGAGUGAGCUGGUCCAAUCCUCAUCAUGGCCGCAAGUCUCUUUGGCACAGCGCCAGCCCAGACUUGUCUGCCGGCACCAGGAGUCCGCAGCCGUACCCGAGGGCAGGCGGUGCAGGCUCGUGGCGGUCCUACAGUGUGGGCACUCUACCCCGAUACCACGGUCGGGUGGCCGGCAUCAUCAGGGUUGCCGU